UUUUUCUUUCAGCUGUUCUUCUGCUACAACCAGCAUGGAGUGCUUUAACUCGCGACGAAUUUCUUACGCAAAUUAAACCUAUAUGCUACGAAAGGGAAAAAGAGAGAGUAUUAGUUAAUGGUCAAACGAUGCCUCUUGCGAGCACCCUGGAGAACUUUAUCGCUCUUGUGGAAAAGCUCGAAGCAGCUAACCCUAAUAUAGGUCUCAAGCAAGAGUUAUUUUAUCUCCUUCGAAGCUAUUUUCAUGAAAAUGUCGAAUAUAAGAAAGGUGCCGGAGCUAGUCAAUGGGAGCCUCCAGACUCUAAUUUUGACAAGAUAGAAAUUUUGUGGGAAAGAAAUGACGAAGAAAGGCAGAAGAAACCAGAGAGACUAGUAGAGCCAUAUUCUGAGGAUGAAAAGUGUAGUUUGUUCUUCAUGAUUUCUCAUUCAGUCGAGCGUUAUAAUAGAUUUAACGCUAGAUUCUUUUCACCUGGAAACGGCAGUGAAAUCCCAAGAAAUGUCGCUGAACAUGACGAGUUAUAUCCUCAGGAACAAGGAGUUGUCGCUAUUCGUGGUUCAAAAGAAGCUGUAGCUCUCGGAAGAGUAUUAAGAGCCAUGUACGUUGGUCUCAAGAGUGAAUCUGAAAGGAAAUUCUUUCUCGAUGACUAUUUAAACCUUGCUAAUAUCGCCGCUGAGGAUCUUCCUGACCGUGAAAAGAGAACAGUAGAUCCUCUUUACAUCCUAACAAUCUCAGAAGUUAUUGCCUUCUCUAAUUGGGAGACGGAUGAACGUUCCAGAGGAUAUGCUGGGGAUGGUUUCUGGAAAGCUGCGCCCGUUGGUGAACUUAUAAACAUUGAAGAUUACUGUCCGAUGAUUUACAGACUUCGUAAUGGAACCAAUGCUGCCUAUACGUUUUCUACAUUGCGUGGAGCUGCAGAUGGUCUUUUAUUGGGAUCUGUGAUCCAUUCUAUCUUGGGCUCGAAAGAAGAUGCGAAACUGAGCCAAAUUUUGCGCAUGUACUAUACUAGAGGUGGAAUUCUAGCUGAGACUGAACAUCAAGUGCUAGGUUCAGUUCGCGCUUCAUUCUGUAACAGAGACUACUUUAUUUCCGAACUAAGCCAGGAAAUAAAAGAUCAAACAUACAUCUUCGUAAUUCUCGCAUCAAAAGCCGUAACAACAGCAAAAGAAAAAUUCUACAGAGCUUUAAUUCAGUACAAUAAUGUAAAGGACAGCGUCUUUAAGCACAGACGAGAUUUUCAAGACUACUGCGCACCCGAUGCUGUUAAAGAAAAACUGGAAACACCCUUAGAUGUAAUUGUGGUUCUUGAUACACGAAACGGGGAAGAAAACUUUCAGAAACAACAAAGGAUUGUUGGCUACUUAAGCAAAAAUUUGGAUUUAAGUUACUACGGAAGUCGACUGACUAUAUUAAAAGAUGAGGUUUCCAGCUCUGCGGGAAUAGUUGAGUUAGAGCCAGUUCUUACAGACUCAUAUUCGUCUGCAUGUGCAGCUUGUCAUAUAACUCAAAUUAAUUAUGGUCGUCCUAACAGUGCUGCACCAGACGAAGUUAUUUUUGCCAUUGACCAGCUUUUAGUAGCUAAAAAAGAAAAUGAAACCAAUUCUGAAGGUGUCAAAGGAAAGGUAGUGAUUUAUUUUAAUUUUGAUGCCAACGAAAAUUCAGCUAGACCUAGUGCAUCAGAAACUAAACUGAAGAAAGCAUUAGCAGAUCUUCAUUUACGCCAUCUAGAUGUUGCUUUUUUUGCUCUGGGUAUUGAAGAAAGUGUGUUAAAGAAGUUCGCUAAGUUUGACAAAAACUUUUAUAUGAUAGCAGACACUACAGAAGAGCAUCAGCGGGAAUUUGUCAAGAAAGUAAACUCAAUUCCUGCGAUUUUGAAGUAUGAGGAUUGUAUCGAAAGAAGAAGUGAGCGCAGCGCCAUUUACGAAGAUUUCGUGUCUCCAAGUGCAACUCAACACUGGAAGAUGCCAGCGAAAUAUUUCUACAAAAGUACAUCAUUAAAAAUUGUCUUUGAGUCACUAGAUGGAAGCAUCCAAGUAUGUUACAAUCGGGCGACUUUAGCUCCAGAAGAUGAAAUAAGGUCGUGCCAAAACAUUACGAAUGGACGUAAAAAAAACUGUCGAAUUCAAGAGCACCAACCCAUGUCAAAGUUUCACUGAUGUAACAUGUGCCCCAUUCUUCUUUUCUCUGAAGGGUAUAAAUGCAUCAGAUCCAACAACUUCAAAAUAUUUUUGCUCAGACAGAAAUACUGGAGCUAAAUGUAGAACUUUGGACCAAAUUAAGUUUAAAAUUUCCC
rnacentral:misc_RNA from 1 species